rnacentral:misc_RNA from 1 species
UACGUAGGUGGCAAGCGUUGUCCGGAAUUAUUGGGCGUAAAGCGCGCGCAGGCGGCCUCUUAAGUCUGAUGUGAAAGCCACCGGCUCAACCGGGGAGGGCCAUUGGAAACUGGGAGGCUUGAGUAUAGGAGAGAAGAGUGGAAUUCCACGUGUAGCGGUGAAAUGCGUAGAGAUGUGGAGGAACACCAGUGGGGAAGGCGACUCUUUGUCCUAUAACUUACGCUGAGUCGCGAAAGCGUGGGGAGCAGACCUG